rnacentral:tRNA from 1 species
CGGGCCGUAGCGCAGUCUGGUAGCGCGCUUGCAUGGGGUGUAAGAGGUCCCGGGUUCGAUCCCCGGCGGCCCGA